AGAGUUUGAUCCUGGCUCAGGACGAACGCUGGCGGCACGCUUAACACAUGCAAGUCGAACGAGAGAAGAGGAGCUUGCUUUUCUGAUCUAGUGGCGGACGGGUGAGUAACACGUGAGCAAUCUGCCUUUCAGAGGGGGAUACCGAUUGGAAACGAUCGUUAAUACCGCAUAAUAUAAUUGAACCGCAUGAUUUGAUUAUCAAAGAUUUAUCGCUGAAAGAUGAGCUCGCGUCUGAUUAGCUAGUUGGUAAGGUAACGGCUUACCAAGGCGACGAUCAGUAGCCGGACUGAGAGGUUGAUCGGCCACAUUGGGACUGAGACACGGCCCAGACUCCUACGGGAGGCAGCAGUGGGGAAUAUUGCACAAUGGAGGAAACUCUGAUGCAGCGAUGCCGCGUGAGGGAAGAAGGUUUUAGGAUUGUAAACCUCUGUCUUCAGGGACGAAAAAAGACGGUACCUGAGGAGGAAGCUCCGGCUAACUACGUGCCAGCAGCCGCGGUAAUACGUAGGGAGCGAGCGUUGUCCGGAAUUACUGGGUGUAAAGGGAGCGUAGGCGGGAUCGCAAGUCAGAUGUGAAAACUAUGGGCUUAACCCAUAAACUGCAUUUGAAACUGUGGUUCUUGAGUGAAGUAGAGGUAAGCGGAAUUCCUAGUGUAGCGGUGAAAUGCGUAGAUAUUAGGAGGAACACCAGUGGCGAAGGCGGCUUACUGGACGAUAACUGACGCUGAGGCUCGAAAGCGUGGGGAGCAAACAGGAUUAGAUACCCUGGUAGUCCACGCCGUAAACG
rnacentral:rRNA from 1 species